rnacentral:rRNA from 1 species
GACGAACGCUGGCGGCGCGCCUAACACAUGCAAGUCGAACGAGCGAGAGAGAGCUUGCUUUCUCAAGCGAGUGGCGAACGGGUGAGUAACGCGUGAGGAACCUGCCUCAAAGAGGGGGACAACAGUUGGAAACGACUGCUAAUACCGCAUAAGCCCACAGGUCGGCAUCGACCAGAGGGAAAAGGAGCAAUCCGCUUUGAGAUGGCCUCGCGUCCGAUUAGCUAGUUGGUGAGGUAACGGCCCACCAAGGCAACGAUCGGUAGCCGGACUGAGAGGUUGAACGGCCACCUUGGGACUGCGACACGGCCCAGACUCCUACGGGAGGCAGCAGUGGGGAAUAUUGCACGAUGGGGGAAACCCUGAUGCAGCGACGCCGCGUGGAGGAAGAAGGUCUUCGGAUUGUAAACUCCUGUUGUUGAGGAAGAUAAUGACGGUACUCAACAAGGAAGUGACGGCUAACUACGUG